rnacentral:rRNA from 1 species
GUGCCAGCCGCCGCGGUAAUACGUAGGGGGCGAGCGUUGUCCGGAAUUACUGGGCGUAAAGGGUGCGUAGGCGGAUAUGCAAGUCCGAUGUGAAAGACUUCGGCUUAACCGAGGAGCUGCAUUGGAAACUGCAUAUCUAGAGUGCAGGAGAGGGAAGCGGAAUUCCUAGUGUAGCGGUGAAAUGCGUAGAUAUUAGGAGGAACACCAGUGGCGAAGGCGGCUUCCUGGACUGUAACUGACGCUGAGGCACGAAAGCUGGGGGAGCAAACAGGAUUAGAUACCCUGGUAGUCCCAGCCGUAAACGAUGGGUACUAGGUGUUGCUGCUGUUAAGGCGGCAGUGCCGGAGCUAACGCAAUAAGUACCCCGCCUGGGGAGUACGGCCGCAAGGCUGAAACUCAAAGAAAUUGACGG